rnacentral:pre_miRNA from 1 species
CAUGCACCAGUGGGGUCCCUCAGCCUGGCCUGUGCCCUCUUGCAAUCCUGGACCCUUUGGGGAAUGUUGGAGAGCCAGUUUUGGCCCAGUCCUGGAGGCCAGGCUGAGGGACUCCACUGGUGCACG